rnacentral:rRNA from 1 species
GACGAACGCUGGCGGCGUGCCUAAUACAUGCAAGUCGAACGAGAGCGACCGGUGCUUGCACUGGUCAAUCUAGCGGCGAACGGGUGAGUAACACGUGGGUAACCUGCCCAUCAGAGGGGGAUAACAUCCGGAAACGGAUGCUAAAACCGCAUAGGUCUUCGAACCGCAUGGUUUGAAGAGGAAAAGAGGCGCAAGCUUCUGCUGAUGGAUGGACCCGCGGUGCAUUAGCUAGUUGGUGAGGUAACGGCUCACCAAGGCCGUGAUGCAUAGCCGACCUGAGAGGGUGAUCGGCCACAUUGGGACUGAGACACGGCCCAAACUCCUACGGGAGGCAGCAGUAGGGAAUCUUCCGCAAUGGACGCAAGUCUGACGGAGCAACGCCGCGUGAGUGAAGAAGGUUUUCGGAUCGUAAAACUCUGUUGUUAGAGAAGAACAAGUGCUAGAGUAACUGUUAGCGCCUUGACGGUAUCUAACCAGAAAGCCACGGCUAACUACGUG